rnacentral:lncRNA from 1 species
UCUGUGGGUUGCGCUGGCCCUGAGACAUAGGUGCAAGGCCUCUUCACCCAGGAAGGGAGCUCUCCAACUGGGAAUGUGAG